AACGAACGCUGGCGGUAUGCCUAAUACAUGCAAGUCGAACGGUAACAGGUCUUCGGAUGCUGACGAGUGGCGAACGGGUGAGUAAUGCAUCGGAGCGUGCCCAGUAGUGGGGGAUAGCCCGGCGAAAGCCGGAUUAAUACCGCAUACGACCUGAGGGUGCAAGGGGGGGAUUGCAAGACCUCUCGCUAUUGUAGGAGCCGAAUUCAGAUUAGCUAGUUGGUGGGGUAAAGGCGUACAAAGGAAACCAUCUGUAGUUGGUCUGAGAGGACGACCAGCCACACUGGGACUGAGACACGGCCCAGACUCCUACGGAAGGCAGCAGUGGGUAAUUUUGGACAAUGGGCGCAAGCCUGAUCCAGCAAUGCCGCGUGCAGGAAGAAGGCCUUCGGGUUGUAAACUGCUUUUGUCAGGGAAGAAAUCUUCUGGGUUAAUACCUCGGGAGGAUGACGGUACCUGAAGAAUAAGCACCGGCUAACUACGUGCCAGCCGCCGCCGUAA
rnacentral:rRNA from 1 species